UACAAAUUAAUUUUAGGCGGACGGUUAAGAAAUCGACAAUGUAUCAUUCCUUCACAUUCAAUGAAAAUCUGCACAAUUUCCCUGGACAAAUGGUGAGAUUGGUAGCUGAUAACAGGCAACCCACUCUAUAUAAUUACCCUUUGCUUUCCAUCCUUACAUCAUGGAGCUGUAAGUACGUACAAUAGCUUGCAUAAUUUGCACCACAAUAAUGGAGAGGCGCACAUCAUUAUUGCACACACUCCCAGUUCACUAUAAAGGCCACCAAUGGCCUGCGACAGAACUCCAUCACGCGCCUAAUUAAGCCACAUAGAAAGUGACCCUCCACUUCACCUGUGCACAUACAGGUUUUGAUUAUGCUGGGAAUAAUGCCGCAGCAUAUUUCCCUCCUUCAAACACCGCCACCCACCCUACAGAGCCAGUCAAGAAUUCUGUGGCACUGAAGGAAACCCCACCGCCACCACCUAUUGUGGCGCCUCCAGACAUAGGGAAAUGGAACUUGGAAAGCUGGCCAGCAGAAAAGGUAUUGCAGCUACCAGAGUACCCGAAUGAUUAUAAGCGUGAAUCGGGUGUUCCCACGAUCAGUUUGGCCUGGAGAAGUAAGAAUUCUAGAGGAUAAAAGCUUAUUGCCAAGCUUCAGUAACGCUCAACUUUCUUAGGGUCUUUGCCACUGGAGGUAUGCUUCAUUGCAGAGAGUUACCAAGUGGAAUAUUGAUUUUGUGGAGCACAGCAAGUAGGGAGACGGGUACAAGAACUGGCUACUCACAGCAGAACAUCCAACCAUGAGAACAACUUAUUUAUUUUGAAGAAAGGAAAUUUCAUACUUAGACCUAGACCAAGAUAGAAAACACGUGGAAUCCCACCAUACAUUUGCUCUCUUGGUCCAUAUAAUGUACCUGCGAAGAAAAAUCUAAUUUACAAAGAAUUAAUAUCUGUGGAUUACUGGAGGAUUGCAGGCAAGCGACAAAAUGGAUCAAAAAGAGCAGUUCAACUGAUUGAAAUUGAAUCCUAACAAGGCAGGGAGGACAAGCAUCAUGUGUAGAAUAGGCGGUCACAAGUUAAAGAGUGAAGCUUCCGCCCCUGAUCAGAGCACUGCGCAGGGCUGGAGGGUGUGAUCCAGUGCAUGGGAAUAGAAUGAACAUUUUGUCGAGGAUACACUGAAUUGAGAAAUCUCGCAUAAAUAAGUAUAGACUGAGGUGCAAGAAAGCAUUCUUUCAAGUCCAUAGAGGAAGCUAUCCUGGAGAAAUUCACCUGGUGAUGAUUGCACUGGAGAGUCACAGAUAAGCCCAGAGAACUGUUAUCGAACGAUCACGAUUCACGUUAUCUGAUCAUCAAACCUAGAUUUCAUACCCCAUAGUUCAACCAUUCAUGAGCUAAAUCCCAUUAAUCAUCCAAG